rnacentral:lncRNA from 1 species
GACCACGUUCGUUGCUUUUCUACAUUUUUUUUGGAUGCAAAAAUCUGUAUUUUUUGCAUCCCACCUGCCAAAUAAAAAUGCAAUUUAAUAUAUACAGCCUCAUGCAACACACAUUUCUAAAAUAAUCAUACAACGCACAACAUUAUCAAAACAUUUAAGCAAUUCAAAUCAACAACACUUAAGCAAUCAAAUCCAAAAUACAAAACACUUAAUAAUUAAUCCAACAACCACCAAAACAUUUAAACAAUCCUAAAGUUUUUUCAUUGGAGUCUACAGGUAUCCGAGAUUGUUUUUUAGCAAUUGACUUCAAGCUCUUACAUCAAAACAUAUAAAACAUAUAAAAAUCAAGUCACUAGUUCAUAUUUCAUGUGACUACACUUAAUAUUUUCAAGUUACUAGUAUACAAUUCAAGAUACUAUACUUAAACCAUUUUCAAAUAUCUAAUUGACAUUUUAUUUCACUAUACUUAACCAUUUUCAAAUAACUAAUAGACAUUUCAAGUAACUACACUUACCCAUUUUCAAAUAACUAAUUCACAUUGCAAGUCACCACACUUAGAAUAUUUUCAAGUUACUAGUAAACAUUUCAAAUCACUGCACUUACUAUUUUCAAUUAACUAAAUCACAUUUCAAGUCAAUAUACUUAAUCAUUUUCAAGUGACUAUACUUUAUUAUUUUAAAGUUAUUAGUACACAUUUCAAGUAACUACACUUAACCAUUUUCAAGCAUCAAGUUCACAAUUUCAAGUAACUACACUUAAUCAUUUUCAAGUCACUACAAUUAAUAAUUUUCAAAUAACUUAUUCACUAGUACACAUUCAAGUCAAUACACUCAAACCAUUUUCAAAUAGCUAAUUAACAUUUCAAGUCACUAUACUUAAGCAUUUUCAAGUAACUACACUUGAACCAUUUUCAAGUCACUAGUACACAUUUCAAGUUACUACACUUAACCAUUUUCAAAUAACUAAUUCACAUUUCAAGUCACUACACUUAACCAUUUUCAAAUAACUACUUUACAUUUAAAAUAACUAUACUUAACCGUUUUCAAGUCACUACACUUAAUCAUUCAUUUCAAAUCACUAUACUUAACCACUUUCAAGUAACUAAUUCACAUUCUAAGUAACUACACUUAAUCAUUUUCAAAUCACUAAUAACCGUUUUCAAGUCUCAAGUUUACAAUUUCAAGUAACUACACUAAACCAUUUCCAAGUCACUACACUUAAUAAUUUUCAAAUAACUUAUUUACAUUUCAAGUCACUACAAUCUAACCAUUUUCAAAUAGCUAAUUAACAUUUCAAGUCACUAUACUUAACCAUUUUCAAGUCAUGUACUAGCAUUUCAAGUCACUACACUUAACUAUUUUCAAUUAACUAAUUCACAUUUUUAAGUCACUAUACUUAACCAUUUUCAAAUAACUACACGUAUUAACCAUUUUCAAGUCACUAGUACACAUUUUAAGUCACCACACUUAACCAUUUUCAAAUAACUAAUUCACAUUUCAAGUCACUAUACGUAUCCACUUUUAAGCAACUAAACUUAACCAUUUUCAAGUCACUAGUACACAUUUCAAGUGACUACUUAAUCAUUUUCAAGUCACAAGUUCUCAAUUUCAAGUAACUACACUUAAUCAUUUUCAACUCACUGCACUUAAUAAUUUUCAAAUAACUUAUUCACAUUUCAAGUCACUAGUACACAUUUCAAGUCGCUACGCUCAAACCAUUUUCAAAUAGCUAAUUGACAUUUCAAGUCACUAUACUUAACCAUUUUUAAGUAACUACACUUAACCAUUUUUAAGUCACUAGUACACAUUUCAAGUCACUAAACCAUUUUCAAAUAACUAGUACACAUUUCAAGUCACUACACUUAAUCAUUUUCAAAUAACUAAUUCACAUUUCAAGUCAUUACACUUAACCAUUUUCAAAUAAUUAAUUCACAUUUCAACUCAAUCCAAGUUCUGUGGUUUCUAUGUGAAAAUGGAACAAAAUUGAAAUUGGGAAAAAUAAACUGAAGUGUUAACUAUUAAUUGCUUGAUGUUUGUUUUUUGCCAUAAUAAAAGAAUCACUGGCUCCAGAAUGCUUUUCUAGUGUAUUUGUUUUGUAAUUUGUGAUAGUAUUUGUUUUCAUCCUUUCAGCAUUAUGAUCAGUUGAUGCAAUGUAUAUGUUCCAAAAUAUAUGGAUAUUGUUGUCAUUGUGUGCUAGUGUUGGUUAGUUUUUUAUUUUUUAUUUUUUUGACCGAACUAGUUAAGGAGCUGAUUGGAGUAGUUAAAUUAGGUAAUAUAUUCAUUAGUAUUAGAAAUUAAUAAUUUGAAAACAAAAAUAAGAAACCUGUGUGCUUUGUAAUAGGACUUCCAUUAACUUUAUAUAUCUUACUUUUAUCAGGAACUGCAGAAGACAACAAGCAGAUAAGAGACUCCCACUGGUUUCUUGCAAUUGAAUCCCUAACAAAUAUAACCCGUUUGUUUCACAGCUUUUCCAACAUAAUUUUUGCAUCAAAUCUGCUUAAGAGUAAAUAGAAAAUUCAAAAUUUGCAUUCAAUAAUUAUGGAAAAGAUUAAAAAUUUGAAAACAAAAAUAAGACUGAUUUUUUUCUAAAGCAAUAGUUUGAAAUUAAGGAACUGUGAAUUAAAAGGAAAACAACUGAACAUCAAAAGAAAAAUAACAACAUAGUACAAUAAAGGGGGCCGACAUUACAUGAGGGCCUCAUUCCGCUAGCCACUAUUUACACCGGUGGCAGUGGCUGGAUAGUCUGGUGGUAACUGUGGCGUCGGUUGGCCGAAGAACGGCGGCGACUGACAGAUAGGGCUGUUGGUGAUGGUGGCACAUUUCACCGGCGAGAAAUGAAGAGAGAGAAAAGAAGGGUCUAGGGAGAGGGGAGGUUUCUCUAUCCAUAGUUGCGCCUGUGGUGAAAGAGGUGGCGGUUGAUGGCAGCCAUGGCUGCUAGCUGAGAGAGGAAGAGAGAGAUGGGAGUAGAAUAUGUUAGGUUUUGGUGAAUAUGUUAGGGUUUGGUCAUGGUUUUGUUUAAAAGGGAAGAAGAGAAUGAUUUAAUCU